UCUGGUGAUCAUAGCGGAGGGGCCACACCCGUUCCCAUACCGAACACGGUCGUUAAGCCCUCCAGCGCCAAUGAUAGUGGGAUCUCCCGCGAAAGUAGGACGUUGCCAGAA
rnacentral:rRNA from 1 species